GGGGUUGCAGCUUAGUGGUUUGAGCGUCGGUCUCACGACUUGAAGGUCGGGGGUUCGAUUCCCGAUCCCA
rfam:Macrostomum lignano uti_cns_0010119, whole genome shotgun sequence.